rnacentral:rRNA from 1 species
AUGAACGCUGGCGGCGUGCCUAAUACCUGCAAGUCGCGCGAACGGACGAGAAGCUUGCUUCUCUGAUGUUAGCGGCGGACGGGUGAGUAACACGUGGAUAACCUACCUAUAAGACUGGGAUAACUUCGGGAAACCGGAGCUAAUACCGGAUGAUAUUUUGAACCGCAUGGUUCAAAAGUGAAAGACGGUCUUGCUGGCACUUAUAGAUGGAUCCGCGCUGCAUUAGCUAGUUGGUAAGGUAACGGCUUACCAAGGCAACGAUGCAUAGCCGACCUGAGAGGGUGAUCGGCCACACUGGAACUGAGACACGGUCCAGACUCCGACGGGAGGCAGCAGUAGGGAAUCUUCCGCAAUGGGCGAAAGCCUGACGGAGCAACGCCGCGUGAGUGAUGAAGGUCUUCGGAUCGUAAAACUCUGUUAUUAGGGAAGAACAUAUGUGUAAGUAACUGUGCACAUCUUGACGGUACCUAAUCAGAAAGCCACGGCUAACUACGUG